AUGGCCACCGCCCUCCGCCCUCCCCGGCUCCCAGCAGUCCCGGAGCAGGCUUCCUCGCUUCAUCGCCUACCAAAGCACAGAGUCGCUGUCACCGGGCGUAGGAGCUUCGCCGCCAGGGCCGGCUCGUAUCCAGGCAACGUGGGCGUCCCGAAGCAAUGGUACAACCUCAUCGCCGACCUGCCGGUGAAGCCGCCGCCGAUGCUGCACCCGGGGACGCACCAGCCGCUCAACCCCAGCGACUUGGCCCCUCUCUUCCCCGACGAGCUGAUCCGGCAGGAGCUCACGGAGGAGCGCUUCAUCGACAUACCCGACGAGGUCCGGGAUGUCUACGAGCUCUGGCGCCCCACGCCGCUGAUCAGGGCCAAGAGGCUGGAGAAGCUGCUCGGCACGCCGGCGAAGAUCUACUACAAGUACGAAGGCACUAGCCCGGCGGGGUCGCACAAGGGCAACACCGCCGUGCCGCAGGCGUGGUACAACGCCGCGGCGGGGGUCAAGAACGUGGUCACCGAGACCGGCGCCGGCCAGUGGGGCAGCGCGCUCUCCUUCGCCAGCACCCUCUUCGGCCUCAACUGCGAGGUGUGGCAGGUGCGCGCGUCCUACGACCAGAAGCCGUACCGGAGGCUGAUGAUGGAGACGUGGGGCGCCAAGGUGCACCCGUCGCCGUCCGACGUGACGGAGGCCGGCAGGAGGCUCCUGGCGGCGGACCCGAGCAGCCCGGGGAGCCUCGGGAUGGCCAUCUCCGAGGCGGUGGAGGUCGCGGCCACCAACGCCGACACCAAGUACUGCCUCGGCAGCGUGCUCAACCACGUCCUGCUGCACCAGACCGUCAUCGGCGAGGAGUGCCUGGAGCAGCUGGCGGCCAUCGGCGACACCCCGGACGUCGUCAUCGGCUGCACCGGCGGCGGCUCCAACUUCGGCGGGCUCGCCUUCCCCUUCAUGCGCGAGAAGCUGGCCGGCAGGAUGAACCCGCAGUUCAGGGCCGUGGAGCCCGCCGCGUGCCCCACGCUCACCAAGGGCGUCUACGCCUACGACUACGGCGACACGGCCGGGCUGACGCCGCUGAUGAAGAUGCACACCCUCGGCCACGACUUCGUCCCCGAUCCCAUCCAUGCAGGUGGGCUUCGCUACCAUGGAAUGGCGCCUCUUAUCUCCCAUGUGUAUGAGCUCGGGUUCAUGGAGGCCAUGUCCAUACAGCAAACUGAGUGCUUCGAAGCUGCAUUACAAUUUGCACGGACGGAGGGCAUCAUCCCGGCGCCGGAGCCGACGCACGCGAUCGCGGCGGCGAUCAGGGAAGCGCUGGAGUGCAAGAGGACCGGGGAGGAGAAGGUCAUCCUCAUCGCCAUGUGCGGCCACGGCCACUUCGACCUCGCCGCCUACGACCGGUACCUGAGAGGCGACAUGAUUGAUCUCUCACACUCCUCUGAGAAGCUCAAGGAGUCUCUGGGUGCCAUUCCCAAAGUUUGA
rnacentral:rRNA from 1 species